rnacentral:rRNA from 1 species
UACGUAGGGUGCAAGCGUUGUCCGGAAUUAUUGGGCGUAAAGAGCUCGUAGGCGGUCUGUUGCGUCCGCUGUGAAAACUCGGGGCUUAACCCCGAGCCUGCAGUGGAUACGGGCAGACUAGAGGUAGGUAGGGGAGAAUGGAAUUCCCGGUGUAGCGGUGAAAUGCGUAGAGAUCAGGAAGAACACCGGUGGCGAAAGCGCCUUGCUGGGUCUGCACUGACACUGAGGGACGAAAGCUAGGGGAGCGAAAGGG